GUGAACAAUUAAGGGCGCGCGGUGGAUGCCUAGGCUCUCGGAGGCGAUGAAGGACGCGAUAAGCCGCGAUAGGCCACGGCGAGGUGCAAGUAACCCUUGACCCGUGGAUUUCCGAAUGGGGCAACCCGGCCGUCUAGAUGACGGUCAUGCAGUAAUGCAAGCGAACGCGGGGAACUGAAACAUCUCAUUACCCGCAGGAGAAGAAAACAAAAUGUGAUUCCCCCAGUAGUGGCGAGCGAACGGGGAAGAGCCCAAACCGUUGCCGUUUCGGCGACAGCGGGGUCAUGGGACCGCGACAUUCGACGGAAGACGAAGUGCAAUUACCUGGAAAGGUAAGCCGUGGAGGGUGACAGCCCCGUGCACGACACCUCUUUCGAAGAUAGCGGGAUCCCGAGUAGGGCGGGACACGAGAAAUCCUGCCUGAAUUCGCCAGGACCGCCUGGCAAGGCUAAAUACUCCCGAGAGACCGAUAGUGAACCAGUACCGCGAGGGAAAGGUGAAAAGUACCCCGAGCAGGGGGGUGAAAUAGACCCUGAACCCGCGCGCCUACAAGCGGUCGGAGCCGGGUAAUCCGGUGACGGCGUGCCUUUUGCAUAAUGAGCCUACGAGUUAGUCGUCACCAGCGAGGUUAAGGGCUUCAGGCCCGUUAGCCGAAGUGAAAGCGAGCCUUAACAGGGCGUCGAGUUGGUGGCGCUAGACGCGAAACCUUGUGAUCUACCCACGAGCAGGUUGAAGUCGCGGUAACACGUGAUGGAGGACCGAACCGGUAAACGUUGAAAAGUUUUCGGAUGACUCGCGGGUAGGGGUGAAAGGCCAAUCAAACUGGGAAAUAGCUCGUACUCUCCGAAAUGCAUUUCGGUGCAGCCUGUGAUGUUCUGUUCCAGAGGUAGAGCUACUGGUUGGACGCGAGGGCUUCACCGCCUAUCAAAUCCGGAUAAACUCCGAAUGCUGGAACACGAAAUCAUGGAGUGAGCCCGCGGGUGCUAAGGUCCGCGGACGAGAGGGAAAGAACCCGGACCACCGGCUAAGGUCCCGGAUGGACAGUUAAGUUGAUCAAACGAGGUGGGAUCGCUGAGACAGCUAGGAUGUUGGCUUGGAAGCAGCCAUUCAUUUAAAGAGUGCGUAACAGCUCACUAGUCGAGCGAUCCCGCGUGGAUAAUACACGGGCAUCAAACUGUCAACCGAAGCCGUGGGGUUAGUGAUGAGCUAACCGGUAGGAGAGCAUUCCUGCCAGCUUAGAAGGUCACCCGCGAGAGUGACUGGAGCGGCAUGAAAAGCAAAUGUAGGCAUAAGUAACGAUAAUGGGGGCGAGAACCCCCCACGCCGCAAGACCAAGGAUUCCCCGGCAAUGUCAAUCAGCCGGGGGUCAGCCGGCCUCUAAGGCUCACCCGAAAGGGGAUGCCGACGAGAAACGGGUUAACAUUCCCGUGCUUCUCGUCACCGUGACGCGGUGACGGGGUGAUGAAUGGACCGCGCGCUGACGGAAUAGCGCGUUGAAGGCCGUACCCUUUGACGGUGGUAGUCAAGCACGCCACCGGAGGCGAGAGCCGAUAGUACCACGAGACCCCGGUCGAGUGGAUAGCGUCCAGGCAAUUUACCCCCUAGAAAACCCGCUAAACUUCAAGUGACGAGGAACCGUACUGUAAACGGACACACGUGGUCGGGUAGAACAUACCAAGGCGCUCGAGUGAUUCAUGGUCAAGGAACUAGGCAAAAUAGUCCUGUAACUUAGGGAUAAAGGACGCUCUAGUGAUAGAGCCGCAGAGUAAUGGCCCAGGCGACUGUUUACCAAAAACACAUGGCUAUGCCAAAUCGAAAGAUGACGUAUAUGGCCUGACACCUGCCCGGUGCCGGAAGGUUAAGAGGAGAGCUCAUCGGAAACGAGAAGGUUUGAAUUGAAGCCCCGGUAAACGGCGGCCGUAACUAUAACGGUCCUAAGGUAGCGAAAUUCCUUGUCGGGU
rnacentral:rRNA from 1 species